AUGGCACGUGUCCCAUUUGAUGGAAACCACCUUUUCACUUGUCCUGAACCACCAGGCGGGGCAGCGCCGGUUUUUGUCCUGGCCGAGGAUGCUGUGAGCACAGACACACAGUAUUUCGGCCCAGGAACCCGGCUGACCGUUCUGGAAAAUCUGGACAGGGUGAAGCCACCCAACGUGGCUGUGUUUGAGCCAUCAGAAGCAGAGAUUAACCAGAAAAAGAAGGCCACACUCGUGUGCCUGGCCACGGGCUUCUACCCUGACCACGUGGAGCUGAGCUGGUGGGUGAAUGGGAAGGAGACCCGCAGUGGAGUGAGCACGGACCCACACCCCUAUGAAGAGUCUCCUGGCAACCCAAACUCCAGCUACUGCCUCAGCAGCCGCCUGAGGGUCUCAGCUGCCUUCUGGCACAAUCCCCGCAACCACUUCCGAUGCCAAGUCCAGUUCCACGGGCUCACAGAUGAUGACCCAUGGGACCAGAAGCAUGGAACCAAACCAGUCACGCAGAACAUCAGUGCUGGAGUUUGGGGCAGAGCAGAUUGUGGCCUCACUUCUGUGUCCUAUCAACAAGGGGUCCUGUCUGCCACUCUGCUCUAUGAGAUCCUGCUGGGGAAGGCCACCCUGUAUGCAGUGAUUGUCAGUGCUCUCGUGCUGAUAACCAUGGUCAAGCAAAAGAAGUCCUGACACCAGCUCUAACAGUGCAUCCCGAGUCUCUCUUCAUCUUCAUCCUGACUUCUCCUGUCCCUACUUGCUUCAGGAACAACAUCUUCUCCUUUCACCUUUCUCUGCAUGGAUGUCUACUCUUCCUGACUGCUCCCCUGAAGACUGAGCCCUAGCCCUGAAUCAGAAACAGACUGAGUCAAUAAACAUGGCAUUUUUGCAUCUCA